AUAACUUUUAACAAUGGAUCUCUAGGCUCUCACAUCGAUGAAGAACACAGUGAAACGUGAUAAGUGAUGUGAAUUGCAGAAUUCGGUGAAUCAUUGAAUCUUUGAACGCACCUUGCGCCUUUUGGUAUUCCAAAAGGUACACCUGUUUGAGCGUCAU
rnacentral:rRNA from 1 species